GAAAAAGUAAAUCCACUGAAGAACUUCAAGGAGAAAGCGUCGGAAGAGGGUAAUUCUUACAAAAACUUGUUAUUGUCCAUGGUCCGAUUGAUUCACGCUAAUCCACUGCUCAUGUUAAACAACCAAGGGAAAGCUGGACAUGAGAUUCAGAGCUCUACACUAGAAUUAAUCAAUGGUCUAGUCUCGCAGGUUCAUCAACCUAAUAUGGCUGACAUGGCACAGGAGGCCAUGGACGCUUUACUAGUGCUUCAUCAGCCAGAAAAGAUUGAAAUGUGGAAUCCCACGUCCGGUUUUAUCAUCAACGUCUAACCCCUCAGGAGGAGUAAUUGAUCGCAAAUCUAAUCUUGUGGUGAACAAUUUAAGUCAAAUGCAAGAUAAUAAUCAGUACUGCCCAGUGACUUCGUUUGUAUGACAUCUUCUGCGGCAGUUGUUGUGUGCCAACGAGAAAUUUGGCAGAAAAAUCAUUGAAGACGU